GGACAUAACAGGUUUGAAGCUUGGACAAGCACUUCAGCUCAAUAUAUGCAACUCUAAAGUAGAAAUCGGCUGUAUACGUAGAAAGAUUACCAACCCUAACAUUCUUUCGAAGACUUCAGCCGUCCAGCAUAUUAUCAAGUUAUCAACAGAAUGAUUACAGAACUUUAGCUGCCCUUUCUUAAAUUUCUCAAACUGACCAGUGGUGGGUACAAACGAAAUAGUUUAACCCAACAGGAAACUGUUUAUAUGUACAUUGAUCAUAAGAGAUUCCUGCCACAAAUCAGUUUUCACCCACAAAUCAAUAGUUAGUGCUUGUCGAAAUGCUAAUUGGUGUCCAAUGUUGAUGCCGACAACACUCCUUCCUUUUUAUCCAGUCGUUUCAAAGGCCCCCAUCAUGGACACUAACUGGUACAUGUGGACACUCCUGUUAACUAAACAUGUGCUCGUACAU
rnacentral:lncRNA from 1 species